rnacentral:lncRNA from 1 species
UAGCCAAACCUCACUUUGUGGUAGACUAACAUUGGUAAAAUUCAUUACAACCACACCUGUAGGCUUUUUGAACUUGUCUUGUCUGACAAAUUUCAGUGGGCCCACCUUAUGUUGAUACAAAAUAACUUCAGUCAUGUUUGUAUUUAGCAUAAAUAGUCUACUAUUUGCUAUAACAACUUCCACUUCAUCCUCCUUUUCCUUUGCAU